GCAAGACACAAGGCAGAAGAAGUGUUCUAUGCAGUCAAAGUUUUACAGAAGAAAGCAAUCCUGAAAAAGAAAGAGGAGAAGCAUAUUAUGUCGGAGCGGAAUGUUCUGUUGAAGAAUGUGAAGCACCCUUUCCUGGUGGGCCUUCACUUCUCUUUCCAGACUGCUGACAAAUUGUACUUUGUCCUAGACUACAUUAAUGGUGGAGAGGUGAGCAGGGGGGAUAGAAGUCAACUCUUAGUGUCUCUGCACAGCCUGCUUUGUUUUAGUUUGAGAAAAAAGUUUUCAAAGAUUUUUGGUGGGGAGAAUGUUACCAGAAUUAGCAUUUCCUUCAACCUGUCAGGUUUAUAGUUAAUAGAUUACUCGGGGCCACUUCCUGCAGUUGUUCUUUUGCUGUAUAUGUCAAAACUAAUUAAAUUCAUUUGCAACCCAGAAUGACUUUGUUCUGUCUCCCGCAGUUGUUCUACCAUCUCCAGAGGGAACGCUGCUUCCUGGAACCACGGGCUCGUUUCUAUGCUGCUGAAAUAGCCAGUGCCUUGGGCUACCUGCAUUCACUGAACAUCGUUUAUAGAGACUUAAAACCAGAGAAUAUUUUGCUAGAUUCACAGGGACACAUUGUCCUUACUGACUUCGGACUCUGCAAGGAGAACAUUGAACACAACAGCACAACAUCCACCUUCUGUGGCACGCCGGAGUAUCUCGCACCUGAGGUGCUUCAUAAGCAGCCUUAUGACAGGCC
rnacentral:lncRNA from 1 species